GUAUUGAAAGGCAGGGACUGCACACAGCACCAAAACUCAACAUGACAAGGGUCAUUAUUUCAUGGAUUCUGUUACUGUACUGCAGUCAAGUGGGUGCAAAUGAUGUUAUACAAGAGCCUAAUAUUGUUUGGGGACAGAAGGGCAGUUCUGUUCACAUGACCUGCACGCACAACAAGGGCUCAACAAACAGACUGAUGUACUGGUACAGACAGCACCAAGGACAACCUAUGAGACUCGUAGCAUUCACAACCUCCUACAGCCAACCUGAAUAUGAAGAUUCUGAGCUUAAUAAAUUUGUGGCCAACAAAUCGGUUCCCGAGAACGGAUCUCUGACUGUGAACAACUUGCAGCUGAAUGACAGAGCCAAAUAUUUCUGUUCAGUGAGUGAAUACACAAGGGCAGUGUGA